GGAGUUGUAGCUCAGCAGUAGAGCGCUCACCUAGCAUGUGUGAAUCCCUGAGUUCGAUCCUCAGCACCA
rnacentral:tRNA from 1 species